AGUGAACGCUGGCGGUAGGCCUAACACAUGCAAGUCGAACGGCAGCACAGUAAGAGCUUGCUCUUACGGGUGGCGAGUGGCGGACGGGUGAGGAAUACAUCGGAAUCUACUUUUUCGUGGGGGAUAACGUAGGGAAACUUACGCUAAUACCGCAUACGACCUACGGGUGAAAGCAGGGGAUCUUCGGACCUUGCGCGAUUGAAUGAGCCGCUGUCGGAUUAGCUAGUUGGCGGGGUAAAGGCCCACCAAGGCGACGAUCCGUAGCUGGUCUGAGAGGAGGAUCAGCCACACUGGAACUGAGACACGGUCCAGACUCCUACGGGAGGCAGCGGUGGGGAAUAUUGGACAAUGGGCGCAAGCCUGAUCCAGCCAGACCGCGUGGGUGAAGAAGGCCUUCGGGUUGUAAAGCCCUUUUGUUGGGAAAGAAAAGCAGCAGGUUAAUACCCCGCUGUUCUGACGGUACCCAAAGAAUAAGCACCGGCUAACUUCGUG
rnacentral:rRNA from 1 species